UUAUAUUCAUUGAUUUUUGUAUGUACCUAAUAUCGUACGAUGAAGGGGUAUUUUCUGAUUUUAUUGGUCUCGCUGGUGACUUUGGCCAUCGCAAACGAAAAGUAUACCAGAAAAUACGACGACGUGAACGUGGACAAGAUCCUCCAAAAUAAUCGUGUUCUCACCAAUUACAUUCGAUGCCUAAUGGACGAAGGACCUUGCACCGCUGAAGGCCGCGAGUUGAGAAAAACUCUACCGGAUGCUUUGUCGAGCGAUUGCAGUAAAUGCAAUGAUAAACAGAAAGUUAUGGCGGAAAAGGUGAUAAAUCAUCUUAAAGCAAAACGAUCCAGAGAUUGGGAUCGUCUCGUUGCUAAAUACGAUCCGCAUGGCGAAUACAAAAAACGCUACGAGAAAUCGUAAUUUCUCACAAAUAUUUUAUAAUAUGACUGCUACAUUUUUAUAUGAGAAUAAAAAAAUUAAUAUAUUACUAAAUGACAGUUUGUAUAUUUGAUUAAAUAUUCAUAAAUGACAUUUGGAUGUCCAACAUUUAAG